rnacentral:rRNA from 1 species
UUGACCUCGGAUCAGGUAGGAGUUACCCGCUGAACUUAAGCAUAUCAAUAAGCGGAGGAAAAGAAACCAACCGGGAUUGCCUCAGUAACGGCGAGUGAAGCGGCAAGAGCUCAAAUUUGAAAUCUGGCCCCCUCGGGGUCCGAGUUGUAAUUUGCAGAGGAUGCUUCGGGUGCGGUCCCCAUCUAAGUGCCCUGGAACGGGCCGUCAUAGAGGGUGAGAAUCCCGUCUGGGAUGGGCGGCCGCGCCCGUGUGAAGCUCCUUCGACGAGUCGAGUUGUUUGGGAAUGCAGCUCUAAGCGGGUGGUAAAUUUCAUCUAAAGCUAAAUACUGGCCGGAGACCGAUAGCGCACAAGUAGAGUGAUCGAAAGAUGAAAAGCACUUUGAAAAGAGAGUUAAACAGCACGUGAAAUUGUUGAAAGGGAAGCGUUGUCCACCAGACUCGCCCGGGGGGGUUCAGCCGGCACGUGUGCCGGUGUACUCCUCUCCGGGCGGGCCAGCAUCGGUUUGGGCGGCUGGUGAAAGGCCCCGGGAAUGUACCACCCUACCGGGGUGUCUUAUAGCCCGGGGUGCCAUACAGCCAGCCUGGACCGAGGCCCGCGCUUCGGCGAGGAUGCUG